UCCAAUCCCAAAAUAAACAAUCUUUUUCCCUCAUUUACCUGGAUCGACUUAAUCCGCCUCUUUUCUUCCUACUCAUAUGCGCCUCAACUUUCUUUCUUCUCAUCAGACAUCGACGCCAGUUUUUUCUUCCACCCUUCCUCCUCCAGCCCCGAUCACGUCUGACACCGCUGCUUUGCAUGUGUCGGCUUUGCCUCCGGCUCUAACAGUUCACCUCCGACAUCUUCUUCACAUAUUUUUUCCCUUUUUUCUUUGUCUUUAGUUCGACUUAAAUCCUUGAAAAUUGAGUAUGAUAGUUGUUUUCCCUAAAAAUCGAGCAUAAAGAGAUAUUGCAUAACAGCUACAAAUAAUGGCAUCUUGAUGCUAGAAUCUCAUGUGGUGAUGUUUGGAAUGCUUGAAAGUCUGAAAUCAUAUGUGGUGUCGAAGUGAAUUAGUUAAUGAGCUUAAAGCUUGUACGUUGAGUUGAUUAACCACAUAUCACUGACUUGGAAUAACUAUUAAGGGUUUUUUUUUCAAGAAUGUGUUUGUACUUGUCAUGAUGUGUAAGAUAUAGCAAUGUACUAAUAUUAAUUAUUUGAUUAUCGCUUCAUAGUUUCAA